rnacentral:rRNA from 1 species
GAUGAACGCUGGCGGCGUGCCUAAUACAUGCAAGUCGAGCGGCAGCACGGUCUUCGGACUGGUGGCGAGCGGCGGACGGCUGAGUAACGCGUAGGAACAUGCCCCAAAGUGAGGAAUAACUGCCCGAAAGGGUGGCUAAUGCCGCAUGUGGUCUUCGGACUAAAGCUUUAUGCGCUUUGGGAGUGGCCUGCGUCCGAUUAGCUUGUUGGUGAGGUAAUGGCUCACCAAGGCGACGAUCGGUAGCUGGUCUGAGAGGAUGAUCAGCCAGACUGGAACUGAGAACGGUCCAGACUCCUACGGGAGGCAGCAGUAGGGAAUUUUCCACAAUGGGCGAGAGCCUGAUGGAGCAACGCCGCGUGCAGGAUGAAUGCCUUCGGGUUGUAAACCGCUUUCAGCAGGGACGAAAUUGACUGUACCUGCAGAAGAAGCCCCGGCUAACUACGUGCCAGCCGCCGCCGUAACAC